rnacentral:rRNA from 1 species
UAAAAGCCUCGUAGUUGGAUAUCUGCUGAAUGCCCCCGGUCCAUCCUAGUGGUGCGUACUCGGUCUGUGUUUAGCACUUUUCUGGGGACUGCGUUCGCACUUCGCUGUGUGGCGCAUGAUCUAGUACUUUUACUUUGAGGAAAUGAGAGUGUUUCAAGCAGGCGUUAGUUUUGAAUACGUUAGCAUGGAAUAAUAGCAUGGGACCUCGUUCUGGAGUUGUUGGUUUUUGGAGCGAUGUAAUCAAAAUAGGGGUAGCUGGGGGCAUUCGUAUUUAACUGUCAGAGGUGAAAUUCUUGGAUUUUUUAAAGACGAACUACUGCGAAAGCAUCUGCCCAGGAUGUUUUUAUUAAUCAAGAACGAAAGUUAGGGGAUCGAAGA